rnacentral:rRNA from 1 species
UGCAAGUCGUACGAGAGUUUUAAACUCAAGUGGCGGACGGGUGAGUAACACGUAAGAAUUUACCUUUAGGAGGGGGACAACAGCUGGAAACGGUCGCUAAUACCCCAUAUGCUUUCGAGUGAAAUGGAUUUUUCCGCCUAGAGAGAAGCUUGCGGCUGAUUAGCUUGUUGGUAAGGUAAUGGCUUACCAAGGCGACGAUCAGUAUCUGGUUUGAGAGGACGAUCAGACACACUGGAACUGAGACACGGUCCAGACUCCUACGGGAGGCAGCAGUGGGGAAUUUUCCGCAAUUGGCGCAAGCCUGACGGAGCAAUCUCGCGUGAGGGAUGACUGCCUAUGGGUUGUAAACCUCUUUUUUCAGGGAGGAAUUAAUGACGUGUACCUGAAGAAUAAGCAUCGGCUAACUCCGUGCCAGCAGCCGCGGUAAGACGGAGAUGCAAGUGUUAUCCGGAAUCACUGGGCGUAAAGCGUCUGUAGGUGGUUUAAUAAGUCAACUGUUAAAUCUUGAAGCUCAACUUCAAAAUCGUAGUCGAAACUAUUAGACUAGAGUAUAGUAGGGUAAAGGGAAUUUCCGUGGACGGUGAAAUGCGUAGAGAUUGGAAAGAACACCGAUGGCGA